UACGAAGGGGGCUAGCGUUGCUCGGAAUGACUGGGCGUAAAGGGCGCGCAGGCGGUCCUGACAGUCAGAUGUGAAAUUCCCGGGCUUAACCUGGGGGCUGCAUUUGAUACGUCAGGACUAGAGUGUGAAAGAGGGUUGUGGAACUCCAAGUGUAGAGGUGAAAUUCGUAGAUAUUUGGAAGAACACCGGUGGCGAAGGCGGCAACCUGGUUCACAACUGACGCUGAGGCGCGAAAGCGUGGGGAGCAAACAGG
rnacentral:rRNA from 1 species